rnacentral:rRNA from 1 species
UACGUAGGGUGCAAGCGUUAAUCGGAAUUACUGGGCGUAAAGCGUGCGCAGGCGGUUGUAUAAGACAGAUGUGAAAUCCCCGGGCUCAACCUGGGAACUGCAUUUGUGACUGUACAGCUGGAGUGCGGCAGAGGGGGAUGGAAUUCCGCGUGUAGCAGUGAAAUGCGUAGAUAUGCGGAGGAACACCGAUGGCGAAGGCAGGUCUCUGGGCUGACACUGACGCUCAUGCACGAAAGCGUGGGGAGCAAACAGG